CUUCAUGCUUCUGAUAUUCUAUGGGAAGUGACAGUGAAAAAGGAAACAGAAAGGUUCCUUAUGAUAUGAAAGAUGCUGAUUAUUAAGUGAGAAUUGAGAACAGUGCCAAGAGAUUACCAGUCCUCUCUUUAAACACUAGUGGGCCAAACUACUCCAGCAUCCCUUAUCAGCCCUCAAAAUUUCUACUCAACCAGUAGAUCACAAGUGGCUAAAUUGAAUGUUAGAUGGCACCUGAAGAACCUUGACUUCCAACUAUAUCUUUGCUGGACAUAAUUUCAAAACAAAUGAAAGAUCAAACAACAACCUUUGUAAGGUAAUUGCAUUUCCACUGUAGUUUUAAGACUGUAAUCGAGUUUGCU
rnacentral:lncRNA from 1 species